AGUCGAGCGGAUCAGAUGGGAGCUUGCUCCCUGAUGUUAGCGGCGGACGGGUGAGUAACACGUGGGUAACCUGCCUGUAAGACUGGGAUAACUCCGGGAAACCGGGGCUAAUACCGGAUGCUUGAUUGAACCGCAUGGUUCAAUUAUGAAAGGUGGCUUUUAGUUACACUUAAAGAAGGGCCCCCCGCGAAAUAACUAAUUGGGGAAGGAAAGGGUCAACCAGGGGACCAAGCCUAACCCAACUGGAAAGGUGAUCGGCCACACUGGGACUGAAACCCCGCCCAAAACCCCACCGGAAGCAGCCAUUAGGAAUCCUCCGCAAUGGAACAAAGUCCGAACGAACAACCCCCCGUGGAUGAAGAAAGGUUUCCGAUCCUAAAACUCUGUUGGUAAGGAAGAACAAAUACCGGUUCAAAUGGGGGGUACCUUGACGGUACCUAACCCAAAACCCCCGGGUAAUUAACUGCCCACCACCCCCGUAAUACCUUAUUUGCAAGCCUUUCCGGAAUUAAUGGGCCUAAAGGGGGGCGAGGGGGUUUCUUAAUUCUA
rnacentral:rRNA from 1 species